AGUAAAUUUCAAUUGCAAAAAAAAAAAAAGUCCCUCUUAAUGGACAGCUUUAUUCUACCUUAUAGAGGAAAUUACCCAACUUGGCCAUAUAAAAAAGGAUCCACUUGCAGUGCUUGCCCCAGUAGUGACAAAUGUUUGGACAAUCUCUGCGUUAACCCAGAGAGAGACAAAGUGAAACAUUACUACUCCAUCGUGUAUCCAGACUGGCCAAUACUUGCACGCAACAGACACUUAUCUCUCUUCCUCAUUGUUAGUUCACCAAUCCUAAUACUUAGUGUUCUAAUUACCAUUUUGGUCAAGCAUAAAUUCCUCAUGUAGUCCUUCUGGACUAAUAAAAUCUAGGAAAAAAACCAUACUCAUUCAUAUAGUUAAAAAAAAGCUGGGUGUAUUUCUAAUUUAAAAAUAUUUCAGAAUAAAAAAUAUGUCGUUGCAGUAAACCCUCAA